rnacentral:rRNA from 1 species
UCCAGACUCCUACGGGAGGCAGCAGUGGGGAAUAUUGCACAAUGGGGGAAACCCUGAUGCAGCGACGCCGCGUGAGUGAAGAAGUAUUUCGGUAUGUAAAGCUCUCUCAGCAGGGAAGAUAAUGACGGUACCUGACUAAGAAGCCCCGGCUAACUACGUGCCAGCAGCCGCGGUAAUACGUAGGGGGCAAGCGUUAUCCGGAUUUACUGGGUGUAAAGGGUGCGCAGGUGGCAGGGCAAGUCAGAUGUGAAAGCCCGGGGCUCAACCCCGGUAUUGCAUUUGAAACUGUCCGGCUAGAGUGCAGGAGAGGUAAGCGGAAUUCCUAGUGUAGCGGUGAAAUGCGUAGAUAUUAGGAGGAACACCAGUGGCGAAGGCGGCUUACUGGACUGUAACUGACACUGAGGCACGAAAGCGUGGGGAGCAAACAGGAUUAGAUACCCCAGUAA